rnacentral:rRNA from 1 species
GACGAACGCUGGCGGCGUGCCUAAUACAUGCAAGUUGAGCGCUGAAGGUUGGUACUUGUACCAACUGGAUGAGCAGCGAACGGGUGAGUAACGCGUGGGGAAUCUGCCUUUGAGCGGGGGACAACAUUUGGAAACGAAUGCUAAUACCGCAUAAAAACUUUAAACACAAGUUUUAAGUUUGAAAGAUGCAAUUGCAUCACUCAAAGAUGAUCCCGCGUUGUAUUAGCUAGUUGGUGAGGUAAAGGCUCACCAAGGCGAUGAUACAUAGCCGACCUGAGAGGGUGCUCGGCCACAUUUGGACUGGGACACGGCCCCAACUCCUUCGGGGGGCAGCAGUAGGGAAUCUUCGGCAAUCGACGAAAGUCUGACCGAGCAACGCCGCGUGAGGGAAGAAGGUUUUCGGAUCGUAAAACUCUGUUGGUAGAGAAGAACGUUGGUGAGAGUGGAAAGCUCAUCAAGUGACGGUAACUACCCAGAAAGGGACGGCUAACUACGUG